UUUACCUGGGAACAAACCGCCAGGCGACUACCUGCUUCAUGGUCCCGCCUGGAGCGGACAGCCUGGCCCGACUCCUAGGGGGAUUUCCUCGGAAAAGUGGUUCAAGCCACUUUUCCACCCUACCUCGCCCACACACCUGUGACCUGAGCCCGAAACACAGCAGGAUGCUGCUGCUUCUAGAAAUGAGACCUGAUGUGCAGUCAGUCUUGGAAGUCUGAUGGUACUGACAAUGAAGCUGAUGGUAACGCUCCCAAUUCCAGUAAUUUCAUGGGAGUAGGACUAGUCAGGCGUUUCUGAAAAUCCCGCCAUUGGGUUACAGUAGAUCAGAAGUGUUUGUUCCAGCUCAGAUAGAAAAGCUGAAAGACAGAAGGGGCUAGUCUUUCAGAAAUCCUGAGAAUUUUCAUCCCCCAGGCAAGUUGAACAGGAAGGAGCCAAAGUGGUUCUGAAGGACUGACAAUUGUCAAGCAACAUGGGAUAGAUAAGCAUCCUUCUUCAGCAGACUCCACUUCACAACCCAUUCUCAAUGCCAGGAAUCAUCAGUCU